rnacentral:rRNA from 1 species
GAUGAACGCUAGCGGGAGGCCUAACACAUGCAAGCCGAGCGGUAGAGUUUCUUCGGAAACUUGAGAGCGGCGCACGGGUGCGUAACACGUGUGCAACCUACCUUUAUCUGGGGGAUAGCCUUUCGAAAGGAAGAUUAAUACCCCAUAAUAUAAUGAUUGGCAUCAAUUAUUAUUGAAAACUCCGGUGGAUAGAGAUGGGCACGCGCAAGAUUAGAUAGUUGGUGAGGUAACGGCUCACCAAGUCAAUGAUCUUUAGGGGUCCUGAGAGGGGGAUCCCCCACACUGGUACUGAGACACGGACCAGACUCCUACGGGAGGCAGCAGUGAGGAAUAUUGGACAAUGGGUGAGAGCCUGAUCCAGCCAUCCCGCGUGAAGGAUGACGGUCCUAUGGAUUGUAAACUUCUUUUGUACAGGGAUAAACCUACCCUCGUGAGGGUAGCUGAAGGUACUGUACGAAUAAGCACCGGCUAACUCCGUG